AGUGCACUUUAAAGCCACUGUUGUACGACAAGAGUAUGAACAGGCCCUGUUGUAUAUGCAGGAUUCCAGUGAAGAGGAGGAGGAAGGAAGAGAGGAACUGUGGGAUCUAGAAGCAGACACAGAGCUUGUGACCCUGCGAUCCAUGUUGGCGACCGUAAAAUGGUCAAUGAAGAGGAAAUCCCACCACAUGUAGCCACAGGCCGCAGCAAACCUGUCCGUCAAGACUCAGCACAAGUCACUGGUGAGGAGGAGGGGCAUCACCCGCCUCCACCUACUGCCUCAACCAAUGACAAUGCAUCGCAGGGUGUUGAGCCAACCCCCCACCGACAAGCCCACCCAACCAGAGCUCACUCAUUCAGAAAUUAGAGGUGAUGGUUGAAGAGGCAUCUGAGAGAGGAGAGUGUGUGGACAUCAGCUCCAUACUGCCCCCUCCUGGUGGGUCCUCAAUUACACCACAAUGGGAACUGAAACCUACAGUAGUGCUUCAUCACGGACUACUACUCCACCGAUUACUGCUCUCUCCCCAGUAACACCAAUGUCAUUAUUUCAGUGCAUAAUACCCCCAUAUGUAGUUAAUAUAUUCCAUUUAAGGUUUUAUUUAAGGGUUGCUAGUUCAGACAGUGGUCUGGUCAUUAAUAAAGG